CCCCUCUCAGGGUCGCACCUGGAGAGUUUCCAGUACUCUACCAGUCUCGACUACAGGAGGGAGAGCCAAGCAGGGGCAUAUCCAUUCCAUUCCUAGCUUGGGCAGUGGCUCGCAAGUGGAAGAUAAUCUGCCACAAAC
rnacentral:snoRNA from 1 species